AUGCGCUACCUUGGACUUCCCUUAACCGUCAAGCGCCUCAAGCGAAUCCACUUCCAGUAUCUUGAGGAUAAAAUUGCAGGCAAGCUCCCUCCCCGGCAGGGAAGACAUGUGGCUUCUGCUGGCCGUGUGGUCCUUGUAAAAGCAGUCCUUACCGCCAUUGCCAUCUAUCAUCUCACGCCUCUCGACAUCCCGGUGGAGGUCCUCAAGAAAAUCGAUAGUAUUCGCCGUGCAUAUCUUUGGGCGGGCUCGGAUAAGGUAUCCGGAGGAAAAUGUAAGGUUAACUGGGAGCUCGCCUGCAAGCCCAAGGACAAAGGCGGACUCGGAGUGCUUAAUCUGGAUAAGUUUGCUAAGGCUUUGCGGCUCUGA
rnacentral:rRNA from 1 species